GGGCAUGUGCACACCUUCUCUUUCAUCCACACACACCUGUGCACCUGUGAGACAGUAGGGGAUUUUUAAUUUAAUUUAAUUGGACCCUCUGUCUACUUAAUUCAUAUAAAAUCAAUUUAAUUAAAAAUGAAUGUAAUUGAUGUAACGCAUCUAAUACUAAGUUUCAACAACGGAUCUCUUGGCUCUCGCAUCGAUGAAGAACGCAGCGAAAUGCGAUAAGUAAUGUGAAUUGCAGAAUUCAGUGAAUCAUCGAAUCUUUGAACGCACCUUGCGCUCCUUGGUAUUCCUUGGAGCAUGCCUGUUUGAGUAUCAUGAAAUCUUCAAAGUAAAUCUUUUGUUAAUUCAAUUGGUUCUGCUUUGGUAUUGGAGGUUAUUGCAGCUUCACAACUGCUCCUCUUUGUGCAUUAGCUGGAUCUCAGUGUUAUGCUUGGUUCCACUCAGCGUGAUAAGUAUCUAUCGCUGAGGACACUGUAACAGGUGGCCAAGGUAAAUGCAGAUGAACCGCUUCUAAUAGUCCAUUAAUUUGGACAAUAUUUUUAUGAUCUGAUCUCAAAUCAGGUAGGACUACCCGCUGAACUUAAGCAUAUCAAU
rnacentral:rRNA from 1 species